rnacentral:rRNA from 1 species
ACUGAGUGGCGGACGGGUGAGUAACGCGUGAGCAACCUGCCCUUCGGAGGGGGAUAGUGUCUGGAAACGGACAGUAAUACCGCAUAACGUAUUUUUACCGCAUGAUAGAAAUACCAAAACUGAGGUGCCGAAGGAUGGGCUCGCGUUGGAUUAGAUAGUUGGUGGGGUAACGGCCUACCAAGUCAACGAUCCAUAGCCGGACUGAGAGGUUGAACGGCCACAUUGGGACUGAGACACGGCCCAGACUCCUACGGGAGGCAGCAG